rnacentral:rRNA from 1 species
ACGCUGGCGGCACGCCUAACACAUGCAAGUCGAACGAAGUAGCAAUACUUAGUGGCGAACGGGUGAGUAUAAUGUGGGUAUCUGCCUUUUGGUUUGGAAUAACACGGGGAAACUUGUGCUAAUACUGAAUAAGCCUUUACAGGGAAAGUUUUAACGCCGAAAGAUGAGCCCGCACUUGAUUAGCUAGUUGGUAAGGUAAUGGCUUACCAAGGCUACGAUCAAUAGCUGAUCUGAGAGGAUGAUCAGCCACAUUGGGACUGAGACACGGCCCAAACUCCUACGGGAGGCAGCAGUGGGGAAUCUUGCACAAUGGGGGAAACCCUGAUGCAGCGAUGCCGCGUGAGUGAAGAAGGCCUUUGGGUUGUAAAGCUCUUUCGUCGGGGAAGAAAAUGACUGUACCCGAAUAAGAAGGUCCGGCUAACUUCGUGCCAGCAGCCGCGGUAAUACGAAGGGACCUAGCGUAGUUCGGAAUUACUGGGCUUAAAGAGCUCGUAGGUGGUUAGAAAAGUUGGUGGUGAAAUCCCAAGGCUUAACCUUGGAACUGCCAUCAAAACUUUUUAACUAGAGUGUGAUAGAGGAAAGUGGAAUUUCUAGUGUAGAGGUGAAAUUCGUAGAUAUUAGAAAGAACACCAAUUGCGAAGGCAACUUUCUGGAUCACUACUGACACUGAGGAGCGAAAGCAUGGGUAGCGAAGAGGAUUAGAUACCCUCGUAGUCCAUGCUGUAAACGAUGUGUGUUAGACGUUGGAAAUUUAAUUUUCAGUGUCGCAGCAAAAGCGUUAAACACACCGCCUGGGGAGUACGACC